rnacentral:lncRNA from 1 species
CAGCUCAAAAAUAAGUAACCAAUCAAAAAUUAAAGCAUUCAGAGAAUAGAGGGGCAGACAAGGAAUGCCUUAGAUAAGACCAAACUGGCGGACAAAGAAAUUAGGAUAAUAAUGCUCAACUGAGCAUUUAUUAUUGAUUGAUCUUUCUAUAAUUGAUCCAUAUGAGGAUCUCCAGGAACCAAGAAAUCUCUUCAGAGAAUCUCCAUAGCUUUGGUUACUUCUAGGGACAUGACAUGUUGAGUUGUGGGAAUACUAACCUUAUGCUAUCUCUUGGAGUGGAAGGAAAAAAUCCUACACAACCCUAUCUAUGAUGGAGGACAAGUUCAUAGCAUAUCUAGCUACAAUACAUGAGGCAAUUUGACUAAAAAAUCCUUGCAAGAAUUGGAAGUUACCAUUAUUGUUUUAGAAUUAACAAAUUUAUUAUGAUAGUAAAGCAACUCUCGCCU